UUGAUUGUAGGAAGGUUGUGGCAUUGGUGGCUGCUGGACUUGACCUUGAUUGUAGGAAGGUUGUGGCAUGGGUGGCUGCUGACUCUGACCUUGAUUGUAGGAAGGUUGCGGCAUCGGUGGCUGCUGAUUCUGACCUUGAUUGUAGGAAGGUUGCGGCAUCGGUGGCUGCUGAGCUUGAUUAUAGGCAGUUUGUGGCAUCUGUGGCUGCUGGUCUGCCUGGUAUGAAUAUGGUGGGGCCUGCUGUUGCUGCUGAGGUUGCAUGUAAGGACCAUGCGGGUACGGCAUGUGUUGAGGAUGCACGCUGUGGUACUGAUGUGUCUGAUUUGGCAUGGGUGUCUGCUGUUGCUGAUAUGGCACUUGCUGAAACGGUGCUUGGUGCUGAAACGGUUGCUGCUGAGCUGGAUGUUGAGUGUGCUGCUGCCCAAGCUGGCCAGCCUGAGGAGGAUAAGCUGCCUGGCUAGGACGCUCCUGGUGCCCUGCUUGGCCAGUUUGGCCGAACUGCACGUUAGGCUGUGAAAAAGCUGCAGGUGCAGGUUCCGGAACCUGCGCAGGGGUCGACGGUGGAGGACCUGCUGCCAAAGGGGGCACCCCUGCAGUUGCUGCCGGCUUCUCAUACUGGGUAACAUUCGUCUCUGGGUUCCAAUAGUACAGCGUCGCGCCAUCAAUCAGCGCUUUCCAGGGCACAGGAAGCGUCGGGUCAUCCG
rnacentral:misc_RNA from 1 species